GUAGGCAGCCACCCGCGCAGAGAUUUUAUUGCGCUCGACUAAAAUGCAAGCCUCUGUUUCAAGUCCUUGGCUAGUCAAUCUGUUGUCUCGUUCACGUCAAACAACAAACAGUUUGCGGGCAUUCUCAUCAUCUUCUUCUUCUAACCAGUCUCGUGGUGGUCUUCCCCGAUUCUACUCCGAUAAGCUUCCUCCUUCCAAGGAUGGCGUUGUUCGUGUCAAAGGUGAUGAAUUUUGGCACAUGACUAGGGUCUUGAGGUUGAGAAUUCAUGAUAGGGUAGAACUAUUUGAUGGAAAAGGAGGAUUAGUUGAAGGCUGUAUACAGAACAUUGAUCAGAAUGGAUUGGAUAUUGUGGCUCUCGAGAAUCCAAAGUCAGUAUCUCCACAUAACACACAGUGGCAUGUCUAUGCUGCAUUCGGUACUCUGAAGGGAGGCCGGGCCGAUUGGCUUGUGGAGAAAUGUACAGAGCUAGGAGCCUGUAGUGUGACUCCCUUAUUGACGGACCGGUCUCCUUCAAUAUCAGAAAAUCGUGUAGAUAGAUUACAACGUGUCAAUCUUGCUGCAGCUAAACAAUGCCAACGGUUGCAUGAAAUGGUUCUAAAUCCUCCUAUAAAAAUUGGUGGACUUUUACCCCUUGUUAAAAAUUCAAAGCUUUCGUUUAUUGCCACGGCAGAAGCUAAACCAGUAUUUAGUGCUCUAAGUUCCAUCAAAAAAGAAUCAACUGGACUGAUGAUAAUUGGACCGGAAGGAGACUUCACGGAGAGAGAGUUAAACAUGAUUCUUGAGGCUGGGGCAACUUCUGUUGGUCUUGGACCACAUCGUCUACGAGUUGAAACUGCUACAGUGGCUCUUUUGUCAGCAUUAAUGUUGUGGUCUGACAACCAAGAGUUAUUGAAGGUUUAGCAAGCUUGCAGGUAGUGUUCAUAUGCUGAGGGGUCCCCAAGAAAGCGGCAAGAGCAUUAUUAAAGGAAUUCAGAAGUGGAAGGAUAAGGAUAAUGAUGAAUCAUUCGCUUUUUUGUGUCUGGCCUCACCCUCACUCCAUUUGGGAAAGGCCAGUGUAUCAUCCUUUACAAAAUACUUCUGAAGUUGCCCAGCUGACUUUUCUUUUUAAUCUCAAGUGAGAAUCUGGUGGUAUUGAAUUCCACGAAUUAUUUUUGUCCAACUCUUGGACGGUUUUGGAAAGUCAAAUUGCUACAUGAGUGGAAUCAGAUUGCAUUUGCUAGCCACCAAGUAAUGAAGUUUGUAUUAAGUGGAUUGGAUUAUUGAGUUUAACUGUUAUUGAAUUAACUUUGAAGAGAUAUGUCAUAUCUCAGUACAUGCUGACAUAUAUCGAGAUUUGGAAUUUUAUUUUGUAACCCAAAAUUGACCAUAUUGCAUUCCCAUUUCCCCAUCAAUUGGAUGACAAUUAUAUCAAGAAAUAACACCUAAAAUCUUCAUCAAAUACGAACACAUUUACUUACUAUUUGAAGUUGUUGUAAUUAUACUUCAAACGCUUUUUACAUUUCCAUCAUUAAUUCUUACAAGGGAAAAAAAAACAAGUAUUUUGAACAAUCAAUUCCUUCUUGAUUAUUAUGUAUUAUUUCUAGAAUAAUUUUCACUUUUAUUUAUUUAUUUUAACACAUAUAUAUAUAUAUAUAUAUGAAAAUUAAUCAUACAUUAAUUUGAAAUGUAUUCCCAAAUUUUAUCCUUAGCCUAAAUAAAUCAAAGCCUGUUUAGUUUAGAAUUGACGAAACACGGUGGCAAAAGAGAGUAAUAAUUGGAGGACAAAGGGGCAUUUAAUUUUAUUUAUUCAUUUAUAAGAAGGGUGGGUAGUCCAGUCAAAAUAGAGAACCAGAAAAAUCCAUAAAUAGGAGAGAUUGAUUUGGUGAAUCAUUCAAUAUUUUUCUAUCUCCUCCAUUUCUUCUCCAACAAUGGCGAUGGCGAUUCAAUUGGAGAGUUUGGUUCAAUCGAUAAAAUCGAAGGUGAGGAAGUUGAAGAAAUCGAAGAAACCCUACGUCAAAAUGGACAAAAGCUCCAGCGUCAGAGUGGAGAUCCGUAGCAAAAAGGCUCGUAAGCUCAUCGACAAAACUCUUCAAGCUGCUGAUAAACCCGGCAAGACUAGUCUUACUUAGUUCUUCUCCACAGUUGAGAUUUGAAAAAGAAAUGAAUUUUUCUCUUUGUUUCAAGUUGUGUGUAUAUAUAUAUAUAUAUAUAAAUUAGGUUUUUAAAAAUGGCCGUUUCUGUGUUCCUCGACGGCGAUGAUAUCCAUUUUCCGAUGGCAACCGUUUCGGUCUUCAAUUUCUUACUUUAUUUUAAUGAGAAAAAACUGGGUUGUUUUUUCCUUCGUAACGUUUAUCCGAUCAAUAAGUAAUUUGGAUGCUAAUUAAAGUUCAUAUCUCUUUGUUUA